AUUUAAUAAACAAUUUGGCACAAUUACCCUUCACUUUCUAACUACACACUAAUUUCCAUACCUAUAUUAAUGUUAAGGGUGAUAUGAGAAUUAAAAAAUAUAGUUGUCCAAACAUUAAUGAAUGGGACCCACAUUUGAAGUAAAAUGUCGUGUGCUGUUUAUUUUUUUUCUUACCACAUAAAUUUCGCACAAUACUCUUCUAUCAAUUCAAUCAUUUUCUUUCUAAAUUCUAGCCAUUGUUUUGCAGAACGAAUUCUCUCCAAAAUCUUGUUUUCUCUGAAAAAAAAAGGGUCGUCCUUCUACCAUUAUUCGCUUUUGCCUUUAGCCUAAUUCGUGUUUUCUCAUCAUCAAUAGUGGAGAAGAAAAUUCUAGAAGUUGCAACAAUUAUUUUGGGUAUGUUCUUCUUAUAAUUUUUCUUUUUUGUGUAUUUCUUUUUUUAUUUUCUUACUAUUUAUUUAAGGUACGUAGUUUUCCUUUGUCUGUAGAUGAAAAUCUAGCUGGGUUCGUCUUCCUUUAGCUCCAUAUAAGGUAUGUUCUCGUUUCUGUACAUGCAUGAAAAUAUAUCUACGUUUACAUAUUCAUGGUUCAUGAGGUUGAAGGUCAUGAAUUUUCGCCGUUUCGAAGCUGGUGAGGAAUCAACUAUCAUCAUUCAUAGCCAACUUCAACAAUUUCAAAUCACUAUUUCACUCCAUUUUUCAUUCACUGUAGAAGAAAAUGAAAUUGCACUGGACGCAAAAAAAAAAUGUUAAUAGAGGGUGAAAAUUAUAUAGAUGUGUACAUACACAUUUACAUACAUACAUGUUUACGUGUGUGAGGAGAGGGGAUUACUUUUCUUCGUAUAGAAUAUAUUUUAUUUAAUUAGUAUAUAAUAAUAAAAUAGUAUCUGCCUUUACUAUAAGAGAGGAGAUUGUCCAAGUUAUUGUUUAUGUUUGGCACAAUUUCACACGUAACCAGUUUCUUCCUUUAGUAUGUAGACUAGAGAUAUUUUUUUCUUAUUCUUAUCUAAUAUGAAAAUUAUUUAAGUUGAAAACGCCUAACUUUGUAUGAACUUUAAAAAUUCUUUAAAAUAUAUGUGUUGGGGACAUGUAAAUUUAUAUUAACUUUAAAGAUGAAUAAAAUUUGAAUUGAAGGCGCCGUGUAGUAUUUAGUGCCAUGCCUUGAUUUUUUAUAAAUUGAUAGAUGACCGUGGUAGAUAGAAGUCUUGUCUAAAUUAAAUAGUUAUAAUGGAAGUGUAUUUAUAGGGAAAUUUAUUCUGUAGGUUGCUUUGAAUUAGAAUUUCGAAUGUUCCAAGAGAGAAGCUAGAGUACCAUACUUUUUCAUUGAAAAAGAUACUUUGUUAGAGCUUAUUAAGGUAGAAAUUCAUAGAUGGAAAUCUUUUAUUACUUGCUGCUCGAAUUCUUUUGUGUAUUUCCAGUCGUCCACUUAUGAAUUUAUUAAGUUUAUGAUUAUUGAUAAAUUACUUACAUUAUAACUUUAGAAAUAGAUUGCAUAUGUAGGUUGAUUGGGUGGAAGCAAAACCACUAAAUUUAUAGAUGAAAAAUAUUUUCUUUUUAGAAGUCUUUAUUUUCUUACUCUUCGGUAGUAGUAUAGCAAAAACUUUUACAGCAUUACAAUAGUAUUUAUGUUUUUUUUUAAAAAACUAUUAAUUUUACAAGAAUCAUAUAAAAAUGUUAAUCUUUUAUUCCUGCUUUUACAUCAUAUAAGUCUUAUUAAAAUUUUAUUUCAUCAAUAGUUCAGUCAACAAUGUUUAUAUUUAUUGUUAUUGCUUUGAAGUAAACAAUUUUUUUUUUAUUAAACUUCAGCUUUAUGCAUGUUUUUAAUGUUGUGAGAGUCUGGUUCACU
rnacentral:lncRNA from 1 species